UUUACUUUACUCCGAUCUCAUUCAGCCAAUGUCAGAUGUUCUUCUUUUUCAUGCCUUAUAUUCACAAAUAAUCUCGUGUGUUUGUCCUCAGCUAUUCCUCAAAAGUCCUGUAUGCAAACAGUGGAGGUGGAACGGAUCCACCCACGGAGGAGAUGGUGCAGAGUUUUGAUUCUGUGAAUGGAGAGAUGCAGGCGGAUGCAGAAAGCAGAGAACUGGAGGUGGUUGAUGGCAAAACAGCUGCAGAUACCAUCCUCUACCACAAGGGGUCAGCAGAGAAAAACAAGUCCAAUACGUUCAAAACUCAGAGGAAAACUAAGCAGAAAGUUGUUUCUGACUUUGGAACGGCGAGCAGGGGAACUUCAUCUGGAACCAAGACCAGAACAUCUCUGCAGGGUCUGUUCAACCCGGGAGGACCUGACAAAACCUCUGAGGUAUCGUGUUGUUUCUGGCUCAUCAAACCGCAUUUUCAUCAUCUGUGAAUCAGAUAUGAACGCCGUCCAAUCUCUAAAUCAGUGA
rnacentral:lncRNA from 1 species